rnacentral:rRNA from 1 species
ACUCCUACGGGAGGCAGCAGUGGGGAAUAUUGCACAAUGGGCGCAAGCCUGAUGCAGCCAUGCCGCGUGUGUGAAGAAGGCCUUCGGGUUGUAAAGCACUUUCAGUCGUGAGGAAGGUGGUAGUGUUAAUAGCACUAUCAUUUGACGUUAGCGACAGAAGAAGCACCGGCUAACUCCGUGCCAGCAGCCGCGGUAAUACGGAGGGUGCGAGCGUUAAUCGGAAUUACUGGGCGUAAAGCGCAUGCAGGUGGUUUGUUAAGUCAGAUGUGAAAGCCCGGGGCUCAACCUCGGAAUAGCAUUUGAAACUGGCAGACUAGAGUACUGUAGAGGGGGUAGAAUUUCAGGUGUAGCGGUGAAAUGCGUAGAGAUCUGAAGGAAUACCGGUGGCGAAGGCGGCCCCUGGACAGAUACUGACACUCAGAUGCGAAAGCGUGGGAGCAAACAGGAUUAGAUACCCCUGGUAGCGACUGA